rnacentral:rRNA from 1 species
UACGGGGGGGGCAAGCGUUGUUCGGAAUUACUGGGCGUAAAGGGCUCGUAGGCGGCCAACUAAGUCAGACGUGAAAUCCCUCGGCUUAACCGGGGAACUGCGUCUGAUACUGGAUGGCUUGAGUGUGGGAGAGGGAUGCGGAAUUCCUGGUGUAGCGGUGAAAUGCGUAGAUAUCAGGAGGAACACCGGCGGCGAAGGCGGCUUCCUGGACCGAUAUUGACGCUGAGACGCGAAAGCGUGGGGAGCAAACAGG